UACGGAGGGUGCAAGCGUUGUCCGGAUUUAUUGGGUUUAAAGGGUGCGUAGGCGGUUCUUUAAGUCUGGGGUGAAAGCCCGUUGCUCAACAACGGAACUGCCCUGGAAACUGGCGAACUUGAGUACAGACGAGGGUGGCGGAAUGGAUGCUGUAGCGGUGAAAUGCAUAGAUAGCAUCCAGAACCCCCGAUUGCGAAGCAGCUGCCUAGACCUGUAACUGAACGCUGAG
rnacentral:rRNA from 1 species